UUUGUGGGUUUCUCACCUCUGUUCCUGUAUGUGAGAGUUUCCUGGUCUGAGCUGCAGAGCAAAGCUCUCAGAGCCUCUGACAUGUAGUGGUCCACAAAGAGGAAGAGGAGCUUUUUACUGUCUGCCAACCUGCUGCUGGUCUCAUUUGAUCCAGCUGCAGAAUGGAGGGAACAUCUGUCCACAGGCUGCUGGCUCUCAUCUCUCUGCUGAGCUGCUCAACAAACCAAGCUGCUCUGACUGU